rnacentral:rRNA from 1 species
UACAGAGGGGGCAAGCGUUGUUCGGAUUUACUGGGCGUAAAGCGCGCGUAGGCGGUUUUUAAGUCAGAGGUGAAAGCCCAGUGCUCAACACUGGAACUGCCUUUGAAACUGGAAAACUUGAAUCUUGGAGAGGUCAGUGGAAUUCCGAGUGUAGAGGUGAAAUUCGUAGAUAUUCGGAAGAACACCAGUGGCGAAGGCGACUGACUGGACAAGUAUUGACGCUGAGGUGCGAAAGCGUGGGGAGCAAACAGG